AUUGAACGCUGGCGGCAGGCCUAACACAUGCAAGUCGGACGAGCGGCGGACGGGUGAGUAAUGUAUGGGGACUGCCCGAUGGAGGGGGAUAACUACUGGAAACGGUAGCUAAUACCGCAUACUAUCGGAUUACCCAGAUGGGAUUAGCUAGUAGGUGGGGUAAUGGCUCACCUAGGCGACGAUCCCUAGCUGGUCUGAGAGGAUGAUCAGCCACACUGGAACGGAGACACGGCCCAGACUCCUACGGAGGCAGCAGUGGGGAAUAUGGCACAAUGGGCGCAAGCCUGAUGCAGCCAUGCCGCGUGUAUGAAGAAGGCCCUAGGGUUGUAAAGUACUUUCAGCGGGGAGGCGUUACCGGCAGAAGAAGCACCGGCUAACUCCGUGCCAGCAGCCGCGGUAAUUC
rnacentral:rRNA from 1 species